AGAGUUUGAUCCUGGCUCAGGAUGAACGCUGGCGGCGUGCUUAACACAUGCAAGUCGAACGGGAUCCCAGGAGCUUGCUCCUGGGUGAGAGUGGCGAACGGGUGAGUAAUGCGUGACCGACCUGCCCCAUACACCGGAAUAGCUCCUGGAAACGGGUGGUAAUGCCGGAUGCUCCAGUUGACCGCAUGGUCCUCUGGGAAAGCUUUUGCGGUAUGGGAUGGGGUCGCGUCCUAUCAGCUUGAUGGCGGGGUAACGGCCCACCAUGGCUUCGACGGGUAGCCGGCCUGAGAGGGCGACCGGCCACAUUGGGACUGAGAUACGGCCCAGACUCCUACGGGAGGCAGCAGUGGGGAAUAUUGCACAAUGGGCGCAAGCCUGAUGCAGCGACGCCGCGUGCGGGAUGACGGCCUUCGGGUUGUAAACCGCUUUUGACUGGGAGCAAGCCCUUCGGGGUGAGUGUACCUUUCGAAUAAGCACCGGCUAACUACGUGCCAGCAGCCGCGGU
rnacentral:rRNA from 2 species